rnacentral:snRNA from 8 species
AUCGCUUCUCGGCCUUUUGGCUCAGAUCAAGUGUAGUAUCUGUUCUUAUCAGUUUAAUAUCUGAUACGUCCCCCAUCGGGGGACUACAUAUUAAAUGGAUUUUUCGAACAGGGAGUCGGAAAUGGGGCUUGCUCCGUCCGCUCCACGCCUCGACCCGGUAUUGCAGUACCUCCGGGAACGGUGCAACACUU